UUUCUCUGUAGUUCAGUGGCAGAACAGUGGACUGUUAAUCCGCGUGGCACUGGUUCGAGUCCAGUCAGAGGAGU
rnacentral:tRNA from 1 species